UAAGCGAUGCAGUCACACAGAGUGGGGUC
rnacentral:piRNA from 1 species